UUAACGCGAAGAACCUUACCAGGUCUUGACAUCCUCUGAAAACCCUAGAGAUAGGGCUUCUCCUUCGGGAGCAGAGUGACAGGUGGUGCAUGGUUGUCGUCAGCUCACUAGUCGUGAGAUGUUGGGUUAAGUCCCGCAACGAGCGCAACCCUAUAAACGUUAGUUGCCAUCAUUAAGUUGGGCACUCUAAGGUGACUGCAGGUGACAAACCGGAGGAAGGUGGGCAUGACGUCCGAAAAAUCAUCAUGCCCCUUAUGACCUGGGCUACACACGUGCUACAAUGGACGGUACAAAGAGCUGCAAGACCGCGAGGUGGAGCUAAUCUCAUAAAACCGUUCUCAGUUCGGAUUGUAGGCUGCAACUCGCCUACAUGAAGCUGGAAUCGCUAGUAAUCGCGGAUCAGCAUGACGCGGUGAAUACGUUCCCGGGCCUUGUACACACCGCCCGUCACAACACGAGAGUUUGUAACACCCGAAGUCGGUGGGGUAACCUUUAUGGAGCCAGCCGCCUAAGGUGGGACAGAUGAUUGGGGUGAAGUCGUAACAAGGGUAGCCGU
rnacentral:rRNA from 2 species